UUAAAGGCCGAUCUUCUCCGGUUGCGAAGAAGGACGGUAACAUCGUUCCUAUUCUUUGGUUGUGAUUCUUUGACUGCUUGUGCGAUUAUUUGCUUCUAUAUGUGAAUAACCUGUUUGAGUUGUGAAUACUGGUUGUUUAGAUUGUGAAUAUUGAGUUUUGGUGAUAUUUGUAAAAGAUUUCAUUCAUUUGAACAUGGCUGGUAACACGAGUGGUAAUG
rnacentral:lncRNA from 1 species